UGUUCAUAUGUUUAGUUAAUACAUAAUUUGUUAAGUGUAGUGACCUCACAGAUGCCAGGCGGGGAGUGUGUUGCCAUUAAGGCAAAAUGUUAAGGACUUUUAUUUUGAUACGAUGUAGACCUGGAGUUCGGGGUUAGAGGUUAUUUCCUGUAUAGAAGAAAGGAAGCUGACAGUAUGUGUGCACUUGUAAUCCAUCUGUUGUUAGCACUAGAAGCAAUGUCUUUUCACUCUGUCAUGUAAGAUGAUGUUGAAAGCCACAGUAAACAGCAAGAAAUCGCUCA